rnacentral:rRNA from 1 species
AUUGAACGCUGGCGGCAGGCCUAACACAUGCAAGUCGAACGAGUGGCGGACGGGUGAGUAAUGUCUGGGAAACUGCCCGAUGGAGGGGGAUAACUACUGGAAACGGUAGCUAAUACCGCAUACCAUCGGAUGUGCCCAGAUGGGAUUAGCUAGUAGGUGGGGUAACGGCUCACCUAGGCGACGAUCCCUAGCUGGUCUGAGAGGAUGCCCAGCCAGACUGGAACUGUGACACGGUCCAGACUGCUACGGGAGGCAGCAGUGGGGAAUGUGGCACAAUGGCCGCAUGUCUGAUGCACCCAUGCCGCGUGUAUGAAGAGGGCCUUAGGGUUGUAAAUUACUUUCAGCGAGGAGGCGUUACUCGAAGAAUAAGCACCGGCUAACUCCGUGCCAGCAGCCGCGGUAAUAC